CUUGCGCUCCCCACCACUAAUUAGCGAUCAGCUGCUCGCAACAAGCAAAGAAGAUUGCGAAAAUGGGAAAAAUUGUUUUUGCCUUCCCAAAGAAGAGAGCGCGAAAAACCCGUGGCCUCCUCGCCUCUCCUCCCCUCCUCUGUGUAUGGAGCGGCGCCCAGCGACUGGAUUCCGCGCCGGGAGACUCACCCUGAACGCGUAUGUCGGUCUGGCUCGGUACGUACCCCUUCCUGUCGGGCACCUUCUCACUUUUACCUUUUUCCAGGCAGUUUCACGCACGGAAAAUGAAUUAGACGCUGGAGGAAAAACAAGCGCGUCCGAUCGCUUUCACUCUUCACUUUCUCGUGUGUGUGUGUGUGUGUGUGCGAGUGUGUGUGUGUCCCUUAAUCCCUUCGACAUCUCAUUAUGAUGUGUUUUUAUGACUUUCUAAUGAAAUUGCCAAAUGGGAUCGGUUUAGGGAUCAAGAUAGGGCUAAGGAUCUGUCGCGCAAAGCCCUUGGCUUUGGCUGGGUUCCAAGUCAAGCCCUCGGCUAAUCCUGGGCUAGAAACAAACAAACAAAUAAACAAACCAGCAAAAGCGUUGACUGUGGAAACUCCUGAGCGAAUAGCGGCGGAGUGACGGAGAGACAACCCUUGGACCCUCGCAACGAAUUCCGCCGAACCAUUCGAUUCAAUUGAGGCGAAAGUAGAGCAAUCUCCUAACCCUGGCCGCGCAGCAUGUUGCCAGUCGCCAGUUGAUUGUUCAAGAUGCUGCAAUAAAAUCUAACUCGUCGGCGUGGGCAGGGGCAUCCACAUGAGGCAAGAAGAAGUGAAGGAAAGUGAAACCAAAAGCAGCGACUGGAAAUAUGAAAAUUGACUAAUAAUCUUGCUGAUGGCAAACGGAUUAACACAGAGCACACAGAGGGAACACCAUCGCCCAGGAAUGGUCAAGGAACUCCGCGGAACCCCGGUCCUUGCCCAUUGUUAUGCAUUCCAAUCCCGAGUAUUGCAUCCUUCCUGCAACAUUUCACUCUCUGCUCUCGUUCGCUGCAUCCUCUGGGCAUUGCGAGUUAGUUCAAAUUAUUGGGUUAUAUUGCGCCGCAAUUUGCAUUAGCAUUAACUCGCCAGAGGCUCUACUCCUCUACCUGGAGCGAUCUCCUCUCCUGGCCGCACUGGGAAAAGGCCCAGUGCAAGCCUUCCCGAUCCGAUCCGAUCCGGCCAGAACCCUACCCACAACCUUGCCUAUUGUGCCACCAUUGUCUUUGACUCUGUGUGUCCGCGAGAGUGUCCCUUUUCGGGUUGGGUUGGGUUGGGUUGAGUUUGAGUUGAGUUGCAACUUCAACCAGCCAUUGCCAUAGCCAUAGCUUCAGGCGACACUGCGGCAGCGACAGUAAAUACCCUUUAUGGACAGACCUUUCACCAGGCGAAAGUGUCGAGCAGUGUGUACCUGCCCAUUCCAUUGUCACCCGAUCCACGACUCAACUCAAUCCACAAACACUUUCUGGCCUUUCGCUGCGGAAUACCGGGAAGCCUCCGCCAGGAUCCGCUCCUCCCGUUGUUGCUGCUUUAUUGCACAUUUUGCACGCACAAAGCGCCGAUCCGAUCUCGCUGAUUAUGUCCGUCAUCAUGGGAAGUAAAUGGCGAAUACACAGGGAGGGGAGGGAGAGGAGAGGAGACGGGUAACAGAAUUGGCAAAAGGCAUGGACAUAGGACUCUCUGUGUGCGUUGUGUGUGCUGAGUGCUGUGUGUCUGUGCAAAAAUUGGCCAUAAAAAUGCCGAGCAAAUUGUACUGCGAUGAUUGCGUGUUGAGUAAUUUGCGCAAUAAAGUAAUUACACAUAUUUAUUGUUUUUUUGCAUAAAUAAACAGAAUGGAGAGCAG
rnacentral:lncRNA from 1 species